rnacentral:rRNA from 1 species
AUGAGGGCGGUCAUCGGCGCCAUCGUCUCCUCCAAGCCGUGCUCGCUCCUCAAGGCCAAGGGCAUCCUCGCUGGGUUCUACAAGAGCUCCGCCUCCAACCUCCCCUCCUCCGACGCAGGCACGUACGUCCUCACCGCGCUGAGCCCGUCGACGACCUCCGCGAAAUCCGCCGCGACCUCCUCAGGGCCCAUCACGAGGUCAAGGUGGAGAUGAAGACUGUUGCGAUCCCCUAUACUUUGUGGAUUAUCACGUGGCGGAGAUGAAGUAGGCGAUGAUGCGGAGUCUCUGGACACGUCGAGAGUAUUUUGUGGGCUGCGGCCCAAAAUCGCAGCCCCAUCAAUCCAUCUAAAACCAACCGACCCAACCCUAGGAGAGGAGAGGAGAGGAUACCCUCCAACCAAGAAGCGUGUGUGGAGAGCGGCUGCCGGCGGCGCGGCGGCGAUGAGGGCGGUGACCGGCAGCAUCGUGUCCUCGAAGAGCAAGCGGUGCUCGCUGUUGAAGGCCGAGUGCGUCCUGGAAAGCUUCGGCGAGCGCAACUCGUCGGGCCUCCCCUCCUCCGACGCCGCCACCUACCUCCGCACCACCGCCGACGCCGUCCGCGACCUCCGCUUCUACCUCAUCGACCUCCGCAAGCGCCUCCAGCUCCAACAGGUGGACGUGGACGUGGAGGAGGACAGUGAGAGGAAGCGGAGGAACAAGCAAGAGAGGCGUGUCGUCAAGCAGGAGGAGGAGGACGCGGCGGUGGUGUCCAAAGUAGGGAUCAGUUUGCUUCCCAGGAAGAAGAAGAAGGAGGAGGAGGAGGAGGAGAAAGACAUCAUCAUCAUCAAGCAGGAAGAAGAACAAGAGGAGCACAAGAAGAAGCGGAAGCAUGCCGCACAAGAGUUGAUCGAGGUGAAGAAAGAAGAAGAAGCUGAUUUCGUCGACCCCGAUUUGGGGAGCGACAAGAAGAAGCAGAAAAAGAAGAAGAGGAGCAGAGAUGGCGCCGAUGACAAUGGCAACGCCGCCCAAGAAGCAGAGCAUACCAAGAAGAAGCAGCGCAAGUAG